rnacentral:rRNA from 1 species
UACGUAGGGGGCAAGCGUUGUCCGGAAUCAUUGGGCGUAAAGCGCGUGUAGGCGGCUCGGUAAGUCUGCUGUGAAAGUCCAGGGCUCAACUCUGGAACUGCCUUUGAUACUGUCGAUCUGGAGUAUGGAAGAGGUGAGUGGAAUUCCGAGUGUAGAGGUGAAAUGCGCAGAUAUCAGGAAGAACACCCGUGGCGAAGGCGGCUCUCUGGGACGGUACUGACGCUGAGACGCGAAAGCGUGGGGAGCGAACAGG